UACGUAGGGUGCAAACGUUAUCCGGAAUUAUUGGGCGUAAAGAGCUCGUAGGUGGUUUUGUAAGUCUGAUAUUAAAGACCCAGGCUCAACCUGGGGAAAGUAUUGGAAACUGCAAAACUUGAGGUAUGCAGGGGCAGAUGGAACACAAGGUGUAGCAGUGAAAUGCGUAGAUAUCUUGUGGAACGCCAAUGGUGAAGACAGUCUGCUGGGCAUUACCUGACACUGAGGAGCGAAAGCGUGGGGAG
rnacentral:rRNA from 1 species